rnacentral:rRNA from 2 species
UGGGGAAUCUUCCGCAAUGGACGAAAGUCUGACGGAGCGACGCCGCGUGAGUGAUGAAGGCCCUUGGGUCGUAAAGCUCUGUCAUCAGGGACGAACGGUCACGUCAGGAAAUGGGCGUGAAUUGACGGUACCUGAGAAGGAAGCCACGGCUAACUACGUGCCAGCAGCCGCGGUAAUACGUAGGUGGCGAGCGUUGUCCGGAAUUAUUGGGCGUAAAGCGCGCGCAGGUGGGAUCUUAAGUCUGUUCUGAAAGUUCGGAGCUUAACUCCGUGAUGGGAUGGAAACUGGGAUUCUUGAGUAUCGGAGAGGAAAGCGGAAUUCCCCGUGUAGCGGUGAAAUGCGUAGAUAUGGGGAGGAACACCAGUGGCGAAGGCGGCUUUCUGGACGAUGUCUGACACUGAGGCGCGAAAGCCAGGGGAGCGAACG